rnacentral:rRNA from 1 species
CACGUAGGGUGCGAGCGUUGUCCGGAAUUAUUGGGCGUAAAGAGCUCGUAGGCGGUGUGUCGCGUCGGCCGUGAAAACCUGCAGCUUAACUGUGGGCUUGCGGUCGAUACGGGCAUCACUGGAGUUCGGCAGGGGAGACUGGAAUUCCUGGUGUAGCGGUGAAAUGCGCAGAUAUCAGGAGGAACACCAGUGGCGAAGGCGACACGCUGGGCCGUACCUGACACUGAUGCGCGACAGCAUGGGGAGCAAACAGG